CGUCAGCUCGUGCCGUGAGGUGUCGGCUUAAGUGCCAUAACGAGCGCAACCCUUGUUGACAGUUACCAUCAGGUAAAGCUGGGGACUCUGUCGAGACUGCCACCGUAAGGUGUGAGGAAGGGGGGGAUGACGUCAAAUCAGCACGGCCCUUAUGUCCGGGGCGACACACGUGUUACAAUGGGAGGUACAGAGGGCAGCUAUCCAGUGAUGGAGUGCAAAUCUCAAAAACCUUUCUCAGUUCGGAUUGGAGUCUGCAACUCGACUCC
rnacentral:rRNA from 1 species